CAUACUCUGAUGAUAAAAUCAUGACGGUCUUCAUAAAACAAAUUGCUGAAAGAACUUGACUCUUUUUACUAAAUGUAAAAAUACUGAAACU
ensembl:snoRNA snoRNA:Me28S-C3420a snoRNA:Me28S-C3420a